GGUCUUUGAAUUUAAAUAAAAUAAACAUGUAUAUGCAACACAAAAUAUUUAUAUUCCUUGUGUAAACAUAAUUUAAUUGAUUAGGAUGAAAAUAUUUUGUUUGAAUGUAAAAUGAACACAUUAUUCUCACAUUGAUUUAAAUUGAUUGAAUUGAAUACUUAAAGCAAUAAAAUUGAGUUUGCACACAAAACGGCACCUCCUGAGCAGAAGGUGGCAGUAACGCUCAAUGAAAAGGACGUCAAUCGCCAUAAAAGAAGAAUAAACAUCGUUUGUUUUGGGCGCCAAAAUGAAGACUCAGCAGCCAGUCAGUCAGAAGAACUCUCUCAGACGGACACCACGUUAUUAAAGUCCAUCAUCCUUGCAUGCGCUGCACACUCAAAAGCAUUGAUAAAUGCUGAAUUUAAAAGAAUCACUACUGUCUUAUGUUCCUGCGUGUCACCUGGACCUCCAAUCCAAAAACCUGAAGAAACUCUUCUAUCAGAAAGGAGGACAGCUAGCAAAAAGACUUCAAACAAUGAAUGAUCAAAUGACAGAAGGCAUGGAUGAAGUCAGCAUCAGUGUGGUCAUUUGAAGACACCACUGUUGGGAUUUGUGCUCUCAAACAACAUGCUUCUUGUGAUGAAGAAGAGGAUCUUUGUAUAGUCCUGGAAGGCAUGAAGGUGUUGCAACAUCGUGCCAUAUUGUUUGAGCUGAUGUAUGCCUUAAACCUGAGCUAUCCUGAUCUCCGCUUUAUUUUUGAGGAAAUCCAAAAGAUUUUAAUGGAACUGCAUUGAGCGUAACUUUAACGAACUGUUUCUUUCAAUGAAAGGAUCAGAAAGACUGUGCUGCUCAUUUAUGUUCUUUUUAUUUAUCUGUUUUAAGUGUUUUUUCUUAUUAAAACAUUAACAGUUUGCUGCUCAGAGUUGAUUUUGGAAAUGGUUGUUGUAUUUUGUUUUUGUUGAAUCUUUGAUUAUCAGUUUAUACAAAUGCUGUAGCUCUGACUUUCUGAAGGAUUGAUAUUUUCCAGUUUGUAAAUCCAUUUAAAAAAUAAUAGUACUUACUGUUUUGCAUGUCUCUUUGGAAUGCAGUGUUUGUGCUUUAGCACUUCUAAAUCUACUGUGAUAGUAACUAUUUUAAACAUUUGGGUCAGUUUUACAGAUGGGGCUUUUUCUAGUCCCAGACUUUUGCAAUGCCUUAAUUUGAAAACAUAUUGCACUGACAUAUCUUGACAUAUAUCAGUGCCAUUGUUUUGUCUCAAGAUGUACUCCAGUGUUGUUUUUGUAAGGUAGGUUUGUUUGUAAACUUUUUUUGUAAAAAAUAUCCUAAUAUAACUAGGGCCUAGUCAUGGCUUAAUCCACAACCUGUCUGGGAAAUUGCCCCUUUGUAUGUACUGCAUGUGCUGAUUGUUGUAAUAGUUAUUGACUGUUGUUGAAUUAAUGUGUAGUGAUUUAAAUGAAUUGAUGAUCUGAAAGCAGUGGUUUGCCUCAAUAUCACUAAACAUUUGUUCAAAACUCUUUGCUUUUUAUGCCAAUGCAAAUGUAUUUUGUAUUUAAAAAAGAAAUAAAUAACAUUUGGAUAAUUAUGGAUGAUUAUUCUGGUGCCAGAGACAUAAUGAAAUUGCUUUAGAGUUACAUAAUCCCAUAAUAUAAGCAUUAAAAAAGCAUGUUGGAAUUACAGAUGAAAAUCUAGUCCCCUUACAUAAUAAAAUUACUUAAACAUUACAAAAUAAAUGUGUUAUAGUAAAGAGAAAUAGCACUUUGAGUCAACAUAUUUAUAUUAGACUACUUAAAACAAUUAAAAUGUUUUGGUCUGACACAUAAAAAUUAAAUGAGGAAAAUUAUGUUGGUUUUACACAAUCGGAUUAUGUGGGACCGAUGUACACAUUAAAAUUACGUAAAUUGAAAGGAUUUUUUU